GAUGAACGCUGGCGGCGUGCCUAAUACAUGCAAGUCGAGCGAACAGAUGAGGAUCUUGCUCCUCUGACGUUAGCGGCGCACGGGUGAGUAACACGUGUAUAACCUACCUAUAAGACUGGUAUAAUUUCGGGAAACCGGCGCUAAUACCGGAUAAUAUACUGAUCCGCGUGGUUCGAUAGUGAAAGACGGUUUUGCUGUCACUUAUAGAUGGAUCUGGGCCGCAUUAGCUAGUUGGUAAGGUAACGGCUUAUCAAGGCGACGAUGCGUAUCCGACCUGAGAGAGUGGUAGGCCGCAUUGGAGCUGAACCACGGUCCAGGCGCCUGCGGGAGGCAGCAGUAGGGAAUCGGCCGCAAUGGGCGGGAGCAUGACGGAGCAGCGCCGCGUGAGAGAUGACGACCUUCGGAGCGUGAAACUCGGUUACUAGGGAUAAACAAAUGUGUAAUGAACUGUACACGUAUUGACGGUACCUAGUCAGAAAGCCACGGCUAACUACGUG
rnacentral:rRNA from 1 species